UACGUAGGGUGCGAGCGUUAAUCGGAAUUACUGGGCGUAAAGCGUGCGCAGGCGGUCUUGUAAGCCAGGUGUGAAAUCCCCGGGCUCAACCUGGGAACUGCAUUUGGGACUGCAAGGCUGGAGUACGGCAGAGGGAGGUGGAAUUCCACGUGUAGCAGUGAAAUGCGUAGAUAUGUGGAGGAACACCGAUGGCGAAGGCAGCCUCCUGGGCUGAUACUGACGCUCAUGCACGAAAGCGUGGGGAGCAAACAGG
rnacentral:rRNA from 1 species